rnacentral:rRNA from 1 species
AUGCCGCGUGUGUGAAGAAGGCCUUCGGGUUGUAAAGCACUUUUGUCCGGAAAGAAAUCGCCCUGGUUAAUACCUGGGGUGGAUGACGGUACUGGAAGAAUAAGCACCGGCUAACUACGUGCCAGCAGCCGCGGUAAUACGUAGGGUGCGAGCGUUAAUCGGAAUUACUGGGCGUAAAGCGUGCGCAGGCGGUUGUGCAAGACAGAUGUGAAAUCCCCGGGCUUAACCUGGGAAUGGCAUUUGUGACUGCACGGCUAGAGUGUGUCAGAGGGAGGUAGAAUUCCACGUGUAGCAGUGAAAUGCGUAGAUAUGUGGAGGAAUACCGAUGGCGAAGGCAGCCUCCUGGGAUAACACUGACGCUCAUGCACGAAAGCGUGGGGAGCAAACAGGAUUAGAUACCCUGGUAGUCCACGCCCUAAACGAUGUCAACUAGUUGUCGGGGAUUAAUUUCCUUGGUAACGCAGCUAACGCGUGAAGUUGACCGCCUGGGGAGUACGGUCGCAAGAUUAAAACUCAAAGGAAUU